rnacentral:rRNA from 1 species
GAUGAACGCUAGCGGCAGGCUUAACACAUGCAAGUCGAGGGGCAGCAAGGGUAGCAAUACCUGUUGGCGACCGGCAAACGGGCGCGGAACACGUACACAAUCUACCUUUAUCUGGGGGAUAGCCCGAAGAAAUUCGGAUUAAUCCCCCAUAAGAUAUUAGCGUGGCAUCAGUUCGAUAUAAAAAGUCCGGUGGAUAAAGAUGAGUGUGCGUCCCAUUAGCUAGUUGGUAGGGUAACGGCCUACCAAGGCAACGAUGGGUAGCUGGUGUGAGAGCACGACCAGCCACACGGGCACUGAGACACGGGCCCGACUCCGACGGGAGGCAGCAGUGAGGAAUAUUGGUCAAUGGACGCAAGUCUGAACCAGCCAUGCCGCGUGAAGGAUGAAGGCCGUCUGGGUUGUAAACUUCUUUUAUUGGGGAAGAAAAUUACGGUUUCUACUGUAACCGACGGUACCCAAGGAAUAAGCACCGGCUAACUCCGUGCCAGCAGCCGCUGUAACAC